AUCCAGGGUUUGCGCGUUCAUCUCCAUCCUACCAGUUCUUUAGUUUGUACAUGAGUACAUCAUGUUGAGAUGAUUUCUGGUGGCCAGUUCGGCUUUGCUCCUGCUCCACGGUCGUUGGCAACUCUGCCGCCUCCGCCCUUCCUACUGAUCUGCAGGUUCAUCGCCCUUCCUGAAUUUUAUACUAACUGACCACAUAUCCUUUUCCGUGUGGCCGGAGUGGUGGGCGUCGGAUCAUGCCCCUGGAGGUUGUGCACUUGUGCUCGUGUGUCUGCCUCUCUUGGUCUACAGAUGGAUGGUGCCUCUAUUCCUCCGGGUGUCUGCCAUGGUAACCUUCUGGGGCGUGCCGGUGCGUUAGCCUUGCAUACUGGUUUGGCUUCUCCUUCCAGUCCCGAGACGGCUGGCGUACCGAGGUGGCUGGCGGUGCGCUGUACGACCUCCUGUCCUUCCUGAGGUGUAUCGGCUAUGUGAGGAGCUAAAGCGUCUAUCGUCGUGGUUGAUCCUCUCUCAAGUGAAGGAGAGGUAUUGUGCGUGCUUGCCCGCAGAGUGUCCGGAUUGGAGUUGUGACCGUGCGUCGCCGCCGUGGUUCCCGGCUCCUCCACACGUAGCACAUCCAUCUAUGGAUGAUUUGGUUUCCUCACGUAGUCACCUAUAAUGCUUGCAAAGUAACAAGGAGAACCUCAAUGAAGCCAAGAGGAGAAAAACUAAUAUACUCAUAUCUAAAUUUUACUGACAGAGAAUACGUCAUCAUAGUAAAAGAAUUGAGAAUCAUUACGGGGUUGAUGCAUUCAUAUAGAAUGAUCUCUUCUUCCAUACACUAAUACCUAAUCAGGUUAGAUUUCAUAUGUAGUAGUUCGACAUGGAAUUUUUUUCUAAAUGUCAAGCAGCUAUUAUUUUUCUUAGUUGUGCUUCAAAUCAAGAUGAUGCCACUGCAAUUAAUGGAUUUGACCAAGGUUUCUAUUGAUGUCGGUUGCAGUUACCCAACUAUGGAUGUAUAUGUACAAGCUGACAGAGCUCCAAGUGCUGAACAUUUCGUUCCCAUCUGUCAGGGUACUAUCUGUAGACUCUAUGUUGUAUGGUAGUGUAGUGUUUUUGUUCCGUUGGAGACAUAUUGCCUUUCUAUUGACAGUACUGUAAGUUGGUACAUGUGUGUUCACUCACAGUGUACCACUUUUUAGUGCCUCCGAACAAUGUUGUUGUCUGUACUUUUGGGCCCAUCCCGGAGAAACAAUUUCUCUAUCGUUUGCAUUUCACUCUUAUCUAUCUGGCCGUUUCCAGUCUACUCAACUAUAUCACUCUACAAAUAGUAGACCAUCAA